AGAUCAUUUUGAGGCCAAUUUCGAAGUAAUCCCUUGUAAUGCUCCCGUGCUUCAUAAAGUGAUUCACCCGGUUAUUGCUCAAGUUAGCUAUCGCCUUCUUGACUUU